rnacentral:lncRNA from 1 species
AGAUUCCGUAGGAACAGACUGCGCGGUCCUUAUUUUAAAACUGACCUGAGUCUGUCCCGCCCCACUCUCUCCUUUGUAUAAUGCUCUUGUCUUUGAAUCCGAACUUAUAUACCAGUGGAGCAUCUCCAAUCCCAGAUUCAUGGGCACAUCUAUUUAGCAUAAGUCAGGAGGAAAGAUGUUGGUAGCAGGCAAAGAGCAGAAUCCGACCCGGAGUGGGCAGUUGCCUGAAAUAUCAGACAUCCUUUCCUCCUGGCUGCGGAGACCUCUGAGAGACAGAGACAGGACCUGGAAUCGCGCGCCACCAAGCCACCAACCCAACCCAGCAACUUACGUGCGCGCAUCAGGCUUCUGAGCACAUGAACAGAACACAAGAAUACUACAAGUUAAUUUAAAGCCAGCAGAUAAAAGUUAAAAUCCCUGGAGUCAAGAUGCCAGGUGGUAUUCCUGGAAGGAGAAAGAAAUGUGUCAAAUGGAUUAAAGUUAGCCUGCUUUUCAACUGGUUUACAAGAAGAAUUUGUUCAGAGUAGAUGUUGGAGUGACUCUCCUUAAAGUCGCUGAAAGCUGAUUUGCCUUUGCUUGCUCUCAAGCCAAACCAGGGGACCAGUGGCAUACCUGGGAGUUCUAAAGAAAAGCUCUUUUUAUCAACCAUGUGCUUAAUGUUCAACCACUGUGUGUUCUCUCUCUUGUUUUUAUCACACUCUUGGGAAAUUAUAGACUUGUAAAAUAUCAAGGCCAGCAAGAAGGCUCAGUAAGGGUCCUGGCUACUGAGCCUGAAGGACUGACUGACCAACUGGUGGGACCCUGGGAUUCAUGUGGUGGAUGGAAAGACAGAGCUGAAUCUUAUACAUUGCCCUCUAACAUGGGCACUUUGACAUGUGUAUGAAGUCCUUAACCCACAUGCAAUCCAUGUAAUGAAAAAUUGGAGUAUAGUUAAUGUCUCUCUUCAGUCCUUAAUCUUACAGACAGUCUAGUCAUGGUAUAAUCCUGUUUAAAAACCAGUGAUGCUCACAGGUGGAGAGGCAAUGUAGCACAAUGAGUGGGUUCUAGGUAACCUGAGCUUUUCCACCUGGCCUCUCUCUUCCCUGAAAUAGUGACUCUGAGAUAUUUUAUACUGAAUAAAUGUCUAGGCCAAUAGUUUUGGCUUAUUUCCUCUAGGUCAUAACUCAAUCAUCCCAUUUAAACUAGUCUAAGUCAUGUCACAUGAUUAGUUACCUCUCCUCAGGUUCAUGUGUCUGUCUCCAUCAGCAUUCUGGGAGAGUCUUUCAUCCCUGAACUUUUUCUAGAACCCAAUCUCUAUCUGCUGGAUGUUCCACCUUCUAAUCCUGCCCCAGUUCAUUGGCCACAGGCUUUUAUUAACACAUGAUGCUUCCACUCAGUACAAAAAAAAUUCUCUACAGUUCUGGAUCUAGACUUGGGAAUCUUCAAUCCAGUGUCCCCACCUAUAGGAGCCAAGUAAUUGCUUUUUCUUAUUCCAAUUUUCUCACUUGCAAAAUGGCCACAUUAACAGUAAUUCAUGUGGACUAGUGAAGACAGUAUGAAACAGAUGUCUACACUUAUAUCCGAACGCCAUGGAAAACAAUGUCAUUCAUUGUAACAACAUUAGCUUGUGUCCAUUCUCAUAUGUGUAACUGAGAAUUCUGAGUGCUCACUGUUAGUUGGAAUUAACCUGGAAAGUGUCCCAUUCUUGAGUAAAACCUUGUUCUGCUGUCUUGGUUGAGCCUCAUUAGUUAAACUCUCCAAUAAAGGCAUUAAAUGUCAGGGUGCAGAGUCCUUACUGAAUUAUGUUCAGAUUUUGAUGGAAUAAAUGGUCUGGGAGGUGAAGGAAGCCCUGGGUGAGUGACGUCCUGGAUAAAUAUGUUGUUUGACAUGGGCAAGGCCAUGACAAGGAUCAUAGCCUCAGACCCAUGGGAAAUGGCAAAGUGUCCCCUCCCCCUACAAGGUGACACACAGGUGAAUGGCAAAGCCUCCCUUUGGUCCAUGUGCAGAUAUUGAUAAUGUAUAACAAAAAAAAAUGUCCAUGAAAGCUUCCUCCCCCUGAAUAUUUAUGGCCUAAAGGCAGCUUCCCUAUAGAGAUUGCUUCUACCAAGAUUAGAUAGCCUUUCCUCUUUGUUUAUUUGUACGCAGUAAUCCUGUCUCCUUAUUCAGCUAUAGGCAAUAAUCUGAACUCUCCGUUCAACCAUACAUAAUAAAACACUAAGAGCCUAGGGUGCUGAGAAUUCACCAUCAGAAUGGUCAAACCCCAUCAGAUCCCAGCUUUUUUGUGUGUCUACAUGUUUGUCUUUUCUUCAUUCCCUUGUCGUCCCUGUCAGGUCUGUUCCUGGAGCAAGGACAAGGACAUGGCAAAAAGAUGUUUCAGAAAUGUUUAACAAGUGAAUGAAGGACAGCUGGGGAAUCGUUCCUACAUAUUUAGAUUAGUCUCUGUGGAAAAAAUAAAACAUCAGAGUUAGAAUAAAGACUGAAUCAGGGACAGGGAGACAUGACAGACGCAAAGCAGAGGCCAACAGAACUGUGUGACUGGCUGACAGGAAAGACCGGGAGCUAUGACUGGCAGGAUUUACCCCCAGUGCUAGGGAUAAAAGUCGGAGCCCUGCAUAUGUAGGGCAAGUGCUCUGCCACUGAGCAACAUUCCCCAGCACUGACUUUUGAGACAAAAUCUCAUUAUUACAAAUAAUGAUCCCACUGCCUCCACUUUCGCAAGUGUUGUGAUUAUAGUCUCUUACCAGCAUGCCUGACCUGAAGAUUUAGAAAUUAUUAAAGCUAAAACUUGAAAUAU